ensembl:lncRNA
CUGAACUCCAUAACCCCAACAUGGACAAUGCAGAAUGAUCUUAAAUGUUCACAGAACAUGUGUGUGUGUGUGCGUGCACCACUGUAUCCCAAAUGCCAGCUUUUUUACAAAAUUAAACCAAGGACAUCCAAGCAAGUUUUCAUCAGUGGCGAAAGAAAAAGUGGACAGUUGGUGAUGAGGAUCCUCUUUCUCUGCCACUUGCUUCUUGCAGUUUUCAGUGCCAUGAACCAAGAGGAGGCAGUAGAAAUGGAAUUUCUAUACAAACAGUUCCUUUGGUGGAGCCAAACAGUUCUUUUGGCUGCAUUGCUCCUUGGAUGUACAUGAUCGAAGCUUGAUUCCCUGGUCCUGCCAGUAAUUCUGUAAAUUGUGUAAUAAUCUGUAAUAGACGCCAUUCCGUAUAAGCU